rnacentral:rRNA from 1 species
CCUACGGGAGGCAGCAGUGAGGAAUAUUGGUCAAUGGACGAGAGUCUGAACCAGCCAAGUAGCGUGAAGGAUGACUGCCCUAUGGGUUGUAAACUUCUUUUAUAUGGGAAUAAAAUGUUCCACGUGUGGGAUUUUGUAUGUACCAUAUGAAUAAGGCUCGGCUAACCCCGUGCCAGCAGCCGAGGUAAUACGGAGGAUCCGAGCGUUACUCGGAUUUGUUGGGUUUAAAGGGAGCGUAGGUGGAUUGGUAAGUCAGUUGUGAAAGUUUGCGGCUCAACCGUAAAAUUGCAGUUGAAACUGGCAGUCUUGAGUACAGUAGAGGUGGGCGGAAUGCGUGGUGUAGCGGUGAAAUGCUUAGAUAUCACGAAGAACUCCGAUUGCGAAGGCAGUUCACUGGACUGCAACUGACACUGAGGCUCGAAAGCGUGGGUAUCAAACAGGAUUAGAUACCCUUGUAGUC